GACGAACGCUGGCGGCGUGCUUAACACAUGCAAGUCGAACGGUGAUGCUCCAGCUUGCUGGAGUGGAUCAGUGGCGAACGGGUGAGUAACACGUGAGCAACCUGCCCCAGACUCUGGAAUAAGCGCUGGAAACGGCGUCUAAUACUGGAUACGAAACUGGCCCGCAUGGGCAUGGUUUGGAAAGUUUUUCGGUUUGGGAUGGGCUCGCGGCCUAUCAGCUUGUUGGUGAGGUAAUGGCUCACCAAGGCGACGACGGGUAGCCGGCCUGAGAGGGCGACCGGCCACACUGGGACUGAGACACGGCCCAGACCCCUACGGGAGGCAGCAGUGGGGAAUAUUGCACAAUGGGCGAAAGCCUGAUGCAGCGACGCCGCGUGAGGGAUGACGGCCUUCGGGUUGUAAACCUCUUUCAGCAGGGAAGAAGCGAAAGUGACGGUACCUGCAGAAGAAGCACCGGCUAACUACGUG
rnacentral:rRNA from 1 species